rnacentral:rRNA from 1 species
GAUGAACGCUGGCGGCGUGCCUAAUACAUGCAAGUCGAGCGAACAGACGAGGAGCUUGCUGCUCUGACGUUAGCGGCGGACGGGUGAGUAACACGUGGAUAACCUACCUAUAAGACUGGGAUAACUUCGGGAAACCGGAGCUAAUACCGGAUAAUAUCUUGAACCGCAUGGUUCAAUAGUGAAAGACGGUUUUGCUGUCACUUAUAGAUGGAUCCCCGCUGCAUUAGCUAGUUGGUAAGGUAACGGCUUACCAAGGCAACGAUGCGUAGCCGACCUGAGAGGGGGAUCGGCCACACUGGAACUGAGACACGGUCCAGACUCCUACGGGAGGCAGCAGUAGGGAAUCUUCCGCAAUGGGCGAAAGCCUGACGGAGCAACGCCGCGUGAGUGAUGAAGGUCUUCGGAUCGUAAAACUCUGUUAUUAGGGAAGAACAUAUGUGUAAGUAACUGUGCACGUCUUGACGGUACCUAAUCAGAAAGCCACGGCUAACUACGUG